rnacentral:rRNA from 1 species
GACAAGGAGGAGCUUGAUCAGCAACGCCGCGUGGAUGAUGACGGCUUUCGGUUUUAGCCUCUGUGUCAGGGACGAUAAGGAUGGUACUCUAAUGCCCGUGUGCUGAUAUUUACCGGCCAAUAGCCCCCGGCUUAAUACGUGCCAGCAGCCGCGGUAAUA